rnacentral:tRNA from 1 species
GCCAGUGUAGCAUAGUGGUUUGAGUGAUGGACUAUGACUCUGGUGACUAGGGUUCGAUUCCCCACUAGAC